GCCGAAGUGGUGAAAUUGGCAGACGCACUGGACUCAAAAUCCAGCGGGGUUAAACCCGUGCCGGUUCAAGUCCGGCCUUCGGCACCA
rnacentral:tRNA from 1 species